AAAUCCAAACCUUCACUUUCGAAUGAAAGCUCACAAGCUUUGUUAUUCGAUGAAGCAGUGUUCGUUUCAUUGUCUGUCAACCAUCAGGAUGUUUCUGCUUUUCCUAAAAUGUACAUCACACACUGAGAAAUGCUGACAAAUGCAGAGUAAAAUACAGAAGUAUCUCCCAUCACUUGA